AACUUUCCGAUUCGGUCCGUCUCAAUGAACCUUUUUAUGGUUGAACCGGCAUUGAACCGUUCAAACCACCGGUCGAAUCGCCGAACCGGACAAACCGUCUGGUUUUUCACGAACCGGUCAAGCAUUUUCUUUUAUAUUCUACAAAAAUUUGUUUAAUAUUAAAAGGCCCAUUAUCCAUUGAGCCCAUUCCACACCCAUAACUAUUGAAACUCAAAUUAAUUAUAAGCCCAUAGUUGGUUUAAACAACUGGGCCCAAACAAAUAAAACAUUAGCUUAUUAACAUGUCCCUUGGGCCAUGCCUUUCAAGCCCAAUUUGUU
rnacentral:lncRNA from 1 species